AGUCGAGCGGAAGAAGGGAGCUUGCUCCCGGAUGUUAGCGGCGGACGGGUGAGUAACACGUGGGUAACCUGCCUGUAAGACUGGGAUAACUCCGGGAAACCGGAGCUAAUACCGGAUAGUUCCUUGAACCGCAUGGUUCAAGGAUGAAAGACGGUUUCGGCUGUCACUUACAGAUGGACCCGCGGCGCAUUAGCUAGUUGGUGAGGUAACGGCUCACCAAGGCGACGAUGCGUAGCCGACCUGAGAGGGUGAUCGGCCACACUGGGACUGAGACACGGCCCAGACUCCUACGGGAGGCAGCAGUAGGGAAUCUUCCGCAAUGGACGAAAGUCUGACGGAGCAACGCCGCGUGAGUGAUGAAGGUUUUCGGAUCGUAAAGCUCUGUUGUUAGGGAAGAACAAGUGCAAGAGUAACUGCUUGCACCUUGACGGUACCUAACCAGAAAGCCACGGCUAACUACGUGCCAGCAGCCGCGGUAAUACGUAGGUGGCAAGCGUUGUCCGGAAUUAUUGGGCGUAAAGGGCUCGCAGGCGGUUUCUUAAGUCUGAUGUGAAAGCCCCCGGCUCAACCGGGGAGGGUCAUUGGAAA
rnacentral:rRNA from 1 species